rnacentral:misc_RNA from 1 species
AACGCACAUUGCGCCCUUUGGCAAUCCGAAGGGCAUGCCUGUUUGAGAACCUUGACGUCCCUCACCCCCCUCAAAUUUCCCUUUGAAGGUCUUUGACCUGAAAAGGAGUGAAUUGGUGUGGCGCGGUGGAUAUGGGCGAACCUCGUCUGCUCUCUCUUCGGGGAAAGGAUGGGGACGCCUGAAAUGAAUUGCCGGUGGUUUUGGAGGUUCACUCCCCCAAGAACGUGACCCCACAAGCAAGACGUGAUAAUACGGAGAAAUCUGUUCACAACGUUUUUGAAAGAGUGGGAAAAGCGGCCCAUCUAACGGUGGGAGGAGGGAAACCCUUCUGCUUGGGGAACCCAUGGGUGAUGACAGCCCCACCAGCUCAACCUAAACAUGCCAGGCGCUGAUCUCUUGAUCGGUGAAAACCUGAACAUCUGGUCUCAAAUCAGACAAGACUACCCGCUGAACUUAA